rnacentral:rRNA from 1 species
UGUUACACUUUAUAUAAAUUAUGAUAUUACCUGGGUAUUAAACAGUUAUUGUCUUGAAACUCAAAGGAUUUGGCGGUAAUUUAGUCUAUUUAGAGGAACCUGUCCUGUAAUCGAUAGUCCACGAAAAAUCUUACUUUAUCUUGUAGAAAACAGUUUGUAUACCGUCAUUAUUAGAUAACUUUAAUAAAAUGUAAAGUUAUUGAAAGAGCAUAGCUAAUAUAUUAGAUCAAGGUGCAGCUUAUGGUAAAGGAAGAGAUGGGUUACAAUAUAUUAAAUAUAAACGGAAUAAUAAUUGAAUAUUUAUUAUUGAAGGUGGAUUUAAAAGUAAGAAGAUUUUAAUAAGAUCUUUUGACCUUAG